UAGGGAAUCUUCGGCAAUGGGGGCAACCCUGACCGAGCAACGCCGCGUGAGUGAAGAAGGUUUUCGGAUCGUAAAGCUCUGUUGUAAGUCAAGAACGGGUGUGAGAGUGGAAAGUUCACACUGUGACGGUAGCUUACCAGAAAGGGACGGCUAACUACGUGCCAGCAGCCGCGGUAAUACGUAGGUCCCGAGCGUUGUCCGGAUUUAUUGGGCGUAAAGCGAGCGCAGGCGGUUUGAUAAGUCUGAAGUUAAAGGCUGUGGCUCAACCAUAGUUCGCUUUGGAAACUGUCAAACUUGAGUGCAGAAGGGGAGAGUGGAAUUCCAUGUGUAGCGGUGAAAUGCGUAGAUAUAUGGAGGAACACCGGUGGCGAAAGCGGCUCUCUGGUCUGUAACUGACGCUGAGGCUCGAAAGCGUGGGGAGCGAACAGGAUUAGAUACCCUGGUAGUCCACGCCGUAACGAUGAGUGCUAGGUGUUGGAUCCUUUCCGGGAUUCAGUGCCGCAGCUAACGCAUUAAGCACUCCGCCUGGGGAGUACGACCGCAAGGUUG
rnacentral:rRNA from 1 species